rnacentral:lncRNA from 14 species
AAUAAAUAGAUAGGGUUUUCUGAGCUUUUGUAACAUGUCACAUAAUAUAAAACUCUCUACCAAAUCCGUUUUGUCAAAUAUGUCAAAUAAUUUUUGGAAUUAUAUUUCUGGAAUGCAUUUUCAGCGUUUCUUAUUGCUGUUCUUGAUCUAUGCACCUUUGUUUGACAGUCCCUUAAUCUGUCCGAUAUAAACUGGGUGAAUAGCAGCAUUCAAAAAUAUGGCUUCGGGGAGUCCUUAGGAGGUUUCUUUAUGCAUAAGCAAAAUACAAUGCGGUUUGUUCUUGAAUUAAACAAUUUGGUGCUUGGACCCAAUCCUGAAACCUGUCACUGCUUUAGGUGUUUUGUGUCUCAAAAGAUCAUGGACUGCUCAUUCUCUGUGUGGCUCAUGAAAGUAACAAGAUGGGAGAACUGA